CGCGUAGGUGGUCCAGUCAGUUGGGUGUGAAAGCCCCCGGCCCAACCGGGGAAUUGCACUCAAUACUGCUGGACUCGAGAGCAGGAGGGGUGAAUGGAACUCCAGGUGGAACGGUGAAAUGUGUAGAUAUCUGGAGGAACACCGGUGGCGAAAGCGGUUCACUGGCCUGCUACUGACACUGAGGCGCGAAAGCCAGGGGAGCGAACG
rnacentral:rRNA from 1 species